rnacentral:lncRNA from 1 species
GGCUGGCAGAUGGCCAGGAGUGGGAUUAGCCCUCCUGUGGAGGGGGAUGAGCUCGUGAGGGUGGUUGACAUCCUGCAUGUAGUGCAGCUUUUCAUCCUGCCUGGCAGGGAUUCCCAGGGAGGGGGUUGGGCAGCUCUUGGAGAGAAUUUUCUUGGAGAUAAAUUGCCCUUGCAGGCAUGGAGCUGUCCCUCAGCCUGUCCUAUGUCCCCAGUAGACUGGUUUGUAGGGUUUGGGCUGCUGGGAUAAAGCUGCCCCUGAUUAGAAACAGCACCCUGAGGGGAGGGUCUGUGCUGGGGGUCCCAAUGAGCCCCUUUGGCUCUCUGCUUGGCUGCUCAUGACUGUGUCCCCCCACCUUCUAACAGUUCCUGGAUCAGGAGAACCAAAUGUGCCGCAAGCAGCUGCUGGAGGUGGAGGCCAGACUGAACUCCACACUGGCCACUCUGCAGGAGCGCGUCCAGCAGCAUGAGGAGCUGAUGGAGUCCCACCAACACCUGCGGGAAGAGCAGGCUGCCCUCAGCAAGGAGCUGGACAGCACCAAGACCGAGCUCUUCAGCUUGCAGAUAAAUAGGUCCAAAAUUUCUUGCUGCUCCACGGGCAUUAUGAAGAACAAGAUGCGGUUGCAGGAGCUCACUGACUGCCUCAAGGCUGCUCUGGAAGAGCAGGAUGAUGAUGAUGAUGAUACCCCAUCGAGAAGCAAAGCCUGGACCCCACGCCUUGCCUGGACCCCGGCAUGCCGCACCCCAUGCCACACCGGCAGCUCCUUCGUGGGCAGCGUCAUGAAAGCUGUAUCAGGGGAAGAUGCCAAUGAAACCACC